rnacentral:misc_RNA from 1 species
AAGUCGUAACAAGGUUUCCGUAGGUGAACCUGCGGAAGGAUCAUUAACACGUAUCCAACGUUAAACCCCCCGUGAACCUUCAUUGUGCUCCCCCAUUCCGUUAGGACGCGGCAAUCCCUGGUAAAUCAUCGCCGAACAGUUUUGAUUCAGGGACCUCUGCAUGGAGUGGGCAGCAGCGCGAGGCAAGUGGCCUGGCAUUCGAAAGAAUGGCGCAGUAACGAUCGCUAGAGGCCGACACGGCCGGCGACCGGGUCACUGGGCUCACGCCCCCCUAUCACCUUUGCAUGAAAACGGGCACCAAACUCGAACAACUGUUAACAAUGGAUAUCUUGGUUCUC